rnacentral:rRNA from 1 species
UCUGGUUGCUUAACAAUCAGACUUCCGGGGGAUACUGCUGGGCUAGGGACCGGGAGAGGCCGGGGGAAUUCCCGGGGUAGGGGUGAAUUCCUGUAAUCCCGGGAGGACCACCUGUGGCGAAGGCGCCCGGCUGGAACGGGUUCCGACGGUGAGGGACGAAGGCCAGNGGAGCGAACCGGAUUAGAUACCCGGGUAGUCCUGGCUGUAAACGAUGCGGGCUAGGUGUCACCAGAGCCACGAGCUCCGGUGGUGCCGGAGGGAAGCCGUUAAGCCCGCCGCCUGGGAAGUACGGCCGCAAGGCUGAAACUUAAAGGAAUUGGCGGGGGAGCACUACAACGGGUGGAGCCUGCGGUUCAAUUGGAUUCAACGCCGGGAAGCUUACCGGGGGAGACAGCUGGAUGAAGGUCGGGCUGAAGACCCUACCAGACUAGCUGAGAGGUGGUGCAUGGCCGCCGUCAGUUCGUACUGUGAAGCAUCCUGUUAAGUCAGGCAACGAGCGAGACCCGCGCCCUCAGUUGCCAGCGGAUCCCUUCGGGGAUGCCGGGCACACUGAGGGGACUGCCGGCGCUAAGCCGGAGGAAGGUGCGGGCAACGGCAGGUCCGUAUGCCCCGAAUCCCCCGGGCUACACGCGGGCUAUAAUGGCCGGGACAAUGGGUACCGACCCCGAAAGGGGUAGGUAAUCCCCUAAACCCGGUCUAACCUGGGAUCGAGGGCUGCAACNNGCCCUCGUGAACCUGAA